GCCUGGCUGGCUCAGUGGGUGGGGUGUGCGACUUCUAAUCUCAGGGCUGUGGGUUUGAGCCCCACAUUGGGUG
rnacentral:tRNA from 1 species